rnacentral:misc_RNA from 1 species
AAAGAUAUAGCAUAUUCUUCUGAAUAUACUUUAUUAACCCAUUCCGAGUACCUUACCCGUUGCUUCCGCGAGGCUGUCCUCACGGCCCUCUGAAGGAUUUAUCUUUGGGGAGUCCUUGCGGAAGGUAUACAAUAAACUCUUGCAUUACCAUGUCAUCUGUCUGAAUCUGCUUAAAACAAAUAUUA